rnacentral:rRNA from 1 species
CGGGUGAGUAACACGUAUCCAACCUGCCGUCUACUCUUGGACAGCCUUCUGAAAGGAAGAUUAAUACAAGAUGGCAUCAUGAGUCCGCAUGUUCACAUGAUUAAAGGUAUUCCGGUAGACGAUGGGGAUGCGUUCCAUUAGAUAGUAGGCGGGGUAACGGCCCACCUAGUCUUCGAUGGAUAGGGGUUCUGAGAGGAAGGUCCCCCACAUUGGAACUGAGACACGGUCCAAACUCCUACGGGAGGCAGCAGUGAGGAAUAUUGGUCAAUGGGCGAGAGCCUGAACCAGCCAAGUAGCGUGAAGGAUGACUGCCCUAUGGGUUGUAAACUUCUUUUAUAAAGGAAUAAAGUCGGGUAUGGAUACCCGUUUGCAUGUACUUUAUGAAUAAGGAUCGGCUAACUCCGUGCCAGCAGCCGCGGUAAUACGGAGGAUCCGAGCGUUAUCCGGAUUUAUUGGGUUUAAAGGGAGCGUAGAUGGAUGUUUAAGUCAGUUGUGAAAGUUUGCGGCUCAACCGUAAAAUUGCAGUUGAUACUGGAUAUCUUGAGUGCAGUUGAGGCAGGCGGAAUUCGUGGUGUAGCGGUGAAAUGCUUAGAUAUCACGAAGAACUCCGAUUGCGAAGGCAGCCUGCUAAGCUGCAA